rnacentral:rRNA from 1 species
CCAACGCAUCCUUCGGGGUGAGUGGCACACGGGUGAGUAACACGUGGGAACGUACCCUUCCAUCUGGGAUAACUUCGGGAAACUGGAGCUAAUACCGGAUACCCCCUUUGGGGGAAAGGUUUACUGUCUAAGGAUCGGCCCGCGUCUGAUUAGCUAGUUGGUGGGGUAACGGCCUACCAUGGCGACGAUCAGUCCUGGU